rnacentral:rRNA from 1 species
UACGUAGGGUGCGAGCGUUAAUCGGAAUUACUGGGCGUAAAGUGUGCGCAGGCGGCCAUGCAAGUCGAGUGUGAAAGCCCCGAGCUUAACUUGGGAAUUGCGCUCGAAACUACGUGGCUGGAGUGUGGCAGAGGAAGGUGGAAUUCCACGUGUAGCGGUGAAAUGCGUAGAGAUGUGGAGGAACACCAAUGGCGAAGGCAGCCUUCUGGGCCAACACUGACGCUCAUGCACGAAAGCGUGGGGAGCGAACAGG